rnacentral:rRNA from 1 species
GACGAACGCUGGCGGCGGGCUUAACACAUGCAAGUCGAACGGAGUGGCGAACGGGUGAGUAACACGUGGGUGACAUGCCCUGCACUUCGGGAUAAGCCUUGGAAACUGGGUCUAAUACUGGAUAGUGUGGGAUGGGCCGGCGGCCUAUCAGCUUGUUGGGGGGGUAAUGGCCUAACACGGCGGGGACGGGUAGCCGGCCUGGGAGGGUGGACGGGCACAUUAGGACUGAGACACGCCGCAGUGGCCUACGGGGCACAGCAGGGGCAAGUAUUACGCAGUGAGGCGAAGCCUGUUGCAGAGACGCCGGGUGGGGGAUGCACGUCUUGGGGUUGUAAACUCCUUUCACCAUCGACGCGGUAGACGGAGAAGAAGCACCGGCCAACUACGUGCCAGCAGCCGCGGUAAUAC